AUCUGGUAGUGAGGGCAACUGACACAUAGUUUUUUAAAUCUCUCCCAAUAUUCAUAUAGGCUCUCUCCACUAAGUUGCAUGAUGCCUGAAAUAUCCUUUCUGAUGGU
rfam:Glycine soja cultivar W05 scaffold8827_1, whole genome shotgun sequence.